GCCGCCGUAGCUCAGUGGUAGAGCAUCGGAUGGGUUAUUCGAAGGUCGCAGGUUCGGUUCCGGUCGGCGGCA